rnacentral:rRNA from 1 species
AGUCACUGACAUUAGAUACCCCUGUAGUCCAGGGUGUAAACGCUGCAGACUUGGUGUUGGGGGCCCUUUGGGGGCAUUCAGUGCCGGAGAGAAGUUGUUAAGUCUGCUACUUGGGAGUACGUCCGCAAGGAUGAAACUUAAAGGAAUUGGCGGGGGAGCACCGCAACGGGAGGAGCGUGCGGUUUAAUUGGAUUCAACACCGUAAAACUCACCAGGGAAGACUGUUACAUGAAGGCCGAGAUGAAGACUCUGCUAGAUUUUCAG